UGGCAGCAUGACCAUAACAACUACCCUCUUUCUGAAGUGAGAACUAGAUAAUAUACAUCUCCCUUUUGAUCUUGACCAAUAUAAAUACCAAGUAAUUAUGGCAGACUAGUGUGCUGUACAUCUGUGGACCCCUCCAAGGCAGGCAGAUGGGCAUCUCAUGGUUUGGACUUGACCUCCGAGACCCAGCUGGGUGCAUCUGGAUGAGACUCAACCACAAAGGGGCCCAGGAUGAGAAAAGGAUCACAGCUUCCAUACCAUCCCAGCAGACGGCCACCUCCCUCCUGCAAGGAGGCCCUGAGACCAUCAUCCUUUCUCUUUUCACAUCUACAAAAUGUAAAGUCAUCUUCCAUUGAAUUGAUUUUUGAAAGGCUCUUUACAACAGUAUGCUGAAAUGCAUUCUGGAAAUGCACAGAUUAGAAUCUUACUUGACAAAAGGACAACACUCAAUGGCACACACAGUGAUUCAUUUGUAUCUCAAAAUCGCUUUUAUUUCCCACUUUUUCGACAGCUUCUAAAUCCACAUAGAAGAUAAUUUAUUUCAUUAUUAAAGCACCCCACUGUUAGAGGCUAAUUUAUAAGCAGAAUAAAUUAUUUCAGGGGCAUAGAACAGAGGCCAAGGAAGCUCCCACUUUAAACAUAUACACACACAUCCAUAUCCCCUUGGGGGGAAAGCCCUAAAUGGAAAUUUGUUUUUUUUUAAUCUCAAAGUUCUGAGCCUUUUGACUGAAAAUUCAUAUUUCUUGGCAAAGAACAAAUACAUGAUAUGGUGCUCAAUCUCACGAGAAGUCUGGGAAAUACAAAUUAAAGCAACAAUGAAGUAUCCAUAUUCAACUACCAGCUUGAUAAAAGUUUACAGACCAAGAACAUGCUGUGCUAGUGCGGAAGUGGAAAACCCCUUCUCAUUCAGUGGUGAUGGGAGUUUGAACUGCUACAAACUUUUCAUAAAAAUGAUCUAGAAAAUUUUA